rnacentral:lncRNA from 1 species
UGUUUGAAAUUUGUUCAUUUUCCCUCUCUUAAUUUAUUUAGAGCCGGGUGAAGGAAACUUGGAAUGUAUAUGGUGUCAUUUUUAACUUUGAAGAAUAAAGAUAAUCUAUGGUUUAGCUGAAAGCACUUGGAGAGAUGAAUCUUGAAAGAUACCAAGAAGGACUCAUCAAAUAUUACCUGGGAGACAUGGCCUUGAAAGCAUAACCUGUGAAUAUAAUCCAUCUGAGACAGCACUUAACUCCAGACAACUCAAUGAUCAACUCAGAAAAAGCAGCAAACAUGAAAAUUCUAUGGCUGAGGCCAUAUUGCACAUCCUUGGAGGACUGUUAACAAGAAGAGAAAAGAAAAUCUGUGGUAUGUGUGAAUCAACUGAUAUUUUAAGCACAAAUGUUUUUCUUCUUUAGAAAACAAGGUCAAUAUAUUAAUGUUGAUAUUCAUGCACAAAAAUGGGUCAGCUGAUAUUUUAAAAAAUCUUUUUUGCUUUGUUUUGCUCUUUCCCUAAGGUCACUGACCAGACACUGGACAGGUAAUAUACUAAGACUCUAAAUAUCUACAAAGGCAGUCUUAUUUGUUCUACGUAGAAAUUUCUGAGAAGGCCCUGAGUCUGAUAGAAUAUAUACCAUAGGGUAAGCAUUCAGUUCAUAUGUGGUAACAACGAUGGAUUUGGGGCCAAAUAUAUUUUGAGAACUGGAGUUUUAUUAAGUGCUUAUUUCAGGCAAGAUGCUAAGCAUUCCACAUAGAUUUUUAAAAGUUCAAUGUUAGACUAGUCCUGUAAGAUACACAUUAUUAUCCUUUCAGAUAUUACAACAAAACAAAAUGGGGGGAAAACCCAAAAAAAGAACCCGAGAGUUAGUGGUAUUGGGCACGAUUGCAGCUCUAAAGUGGAAUCCUGGAAUCCUGGUUUGAACUAAGGCAUUCCUACCCUAGAGCUCACUCUCUUAGGCAAUCACUCCAUUAUACUGCCUUGCCAUCUAAUGUUCCAGUGAUGUAGUAAUAGCAUCGAAGAGGUAAUUUAAAGGAAGGACUGACUUCCAGAAAGAGGGCUAUCAAAGAAAAUACACAGUGUGGAACAUUUUGCUGUGGCAGCAGGAAGUCUUGAUUUCACAGAAUAUGUCUUGUUAGAUGCCAGUUUAAUUAGCACCAUCCUCUUGGGUCUCGAUGU